UGCUUAACACAUGCAAGUCGAACGAUGUAACUACCAGCUUGCUGGUGGGAUUAGAUGGUCGCAACGGGUUGACUAACACGUGAGUAACCUGCCCUGGACUCUGGGCAUAACCCCGGAGUAAAUCGGAGCUAAUACCGGAUAGGACCUUUCCUCGCAUGAGGUUUGGUGGAAAGUUUUUCGGUCUGGGAUGGACUCGCGGCCUAUCAGCUUGUUGGUGAGGUAAUGGCUCACCAAGGCGUCGACGGGUAGCCGGCCUGAGAGGGUGACCGGCCACACUGGGACUGAUACACGGCCCACACUCCUACGGGAGGCAGCAGUGGGGAAUAUUGCACAAUGGGCGCAAGCCUGAUGCAGCAACGCCGCGUGCGGGAUGACGGCCUUCGGGUUGUAAACCGCUUUUAGUAGGGAAGAAGGGCUUCGGCUUGACUGUACCUGCAGAAAAAGGACCGGCUAACUACGUGCCAUCA
rnacentral:rRNA from 1 species